rnacentral:sRNA from 1 species
GUCGAUCAAAACGCCUUCUAUCGCGAUAC